UACGAAUGGGGCAAGCGUUGUUCGGAAUCACUGGGCUUAAAGCGUGCGCAGGCGGCUAUGCAAGUCAGGAGUGAAAUCCCUAGGCUCAACCUAGGAAUUGCUCUUGAAACUGCAUAGCUAGAAUAUGGGAGAGGUUAGCAGAAUUCCGAGUGUAGAGGUGAAAUUCGCAGAUAUUCGGAGGAAUACCAGUGGCGAAGGCGGCUAACUGGACCAUUAUUGACGCUCAGGCACGAAAGCGUGGGUAGCAAACAGG
rnacentral:rRNA from 1 species